GGGGAGAAGCACAGACAGGUUUGAGCUUUGCAGGGCCCCUGUGACCUCUGUUACGGGUAGGAAGUUGGAGUACAGUCACGGAUGAAAUCCUCUCUUCCCAGAUGUCCCUGGAGAGCUGUGCAGGGGAGUCCAGUGCCUCACACUCUCCCAGCCUGCUGGAGGAGGAGGAUACUGGGCCCUUGGCCCCGCAACCACAAAACACCAGAUCGACUGACAAGGAGCCCCUCGGUUCCCUCGGCCUCUCCCACAAGGCCCCGGUGGCCUCGGAGUGCCUGCCUUUCUUCCGCACCUGUGAGUGGCUCCUGGCUGAAGAGAAAGCCCUGCAGACUGAGAUUUUCGUGGACCAAGGAGGGCAGAGGGCCCGGCAGGCAUCAUUUCUGGAGGAUUUGGCGCCACCCAGUGGCUUCCUUCCUUACUAUCGCUCGGAGAAAGACAUUCUCCCCUGCCGGAUCCUUCCUGGCCAGGGGCACGGGGGCUCCCACGACUCACUCCCCAGUGAGAAGGCACAGGAGGACUGCUGCUGCAAGCUGACAGCCAAGGAUGGGUGUCCUGCUUCUGCUGCAGGCUCAGAUGUCACCUCCAGGUCCUCACACUCACUAGUCUCAGCAGGGAGCUCCCAGGACGGCAGUCUGGAUAAUCCUCCCUGCAGGGACCAAGCCCUUCAUGCCCCAGGAUUUGUGCCUUACUACAGGAGCCCAGAGGAGGAGUUGCACACCAGCCUGCAGCCUUCGGCCUCACUGUCUGGGAGAGACCAGGACCUGAUCGAGAAUGAGUCCUAGCACCCAGUUCUCAGCAAGAGCAGAAGGUGGAUGGAGCUUGAAAACCUGCCCAACAAGGAGUAAGCAGCCGCACCUGAAGUGGUUCCGCCGAGGAAUGCCUGUCUGGUCCAGCACUGAAGCCUAGACAGUCCCUUCUGUAGCCUGCCCUAGGCUGGGAACCAAGGGACGGGGCUGCCUGAGCAACAGAGGGGCAAAGAUGCCCGGAGAUUGGUCUCAUAAAUAAACCAUAGCGCUACAAGG
rnacentral:lncRNA from 1 species